rnacentral:rRNA from 1 species
GGGGAAUUUUGGACAAUGGGCGCAAGCCUGAUCCAGCCAUGCCGCGUGUCUGAAGAAGGCCUUCGGGUUGUAAAGGACUUUUGUCAGGGAAGAAAAGGGCGGGGUUAAUACCCCUGUCUGAUGACGGUACCUGAAGAAUAAGCACCGGCUAACUACGUGCCAGCAGCCGCGGUAAUACGUAGGGUGCGAGCGUUAAUCGGAAUUACUGGGCGUAAAGCGGGCGCAGACGGUUACUUAAGCAGGAUGCGAAAUCCCCGGGCUCAACCUGGGAACUGCGUUCUGAACUGGGUGACUAGAGUGUGUCAGAGGGAGGUAGAAUUCCACGUGUAGCAGUGAAAUGCGUAGAGAUGUGGAGGAAUACCGAUGGCGAAGGCAGCCUCCUGGGAUAACACUGACGUUCAUGCCCGAAAGCGUGGGUAGCAAACAGGAUUAGAUACCCUGGUAGUCCACGCCCUAAACGAUGUCGAUUAGCUGUUGGGCAGCAUGACUGCUUAGUAGCGAAGCUAACGCGUGAAAUCGACCGCCUGGGGAGUACGGUCGCAAGAUUA